rnacentral:lncRNA from 1 species
UUCAUAGACAUUCACGCGGAUAUGAGUUUUUGUUUACGGCCUAUUUGCAUGUUCUGAAAAAAAAAAAUGUAGGCUACUCUUCUCUAAAAGAUUUUUUUUUUUUUUUAUCAACACUCUUCUCUCAAAGAUUAGUUUAACUAAUAUCAUAGACAUGUCAUUACCCGAAAUCAUAAACAAAAAAAAGUAAUAACUAAGUUUAGUGGUCUACUACACAUACAGUUUUUAAUAAUCAUUCCAACCCAUUUGUUAGGUACCUGUGCAAGUAAAGAUAUAAACUGUUUUUCUUAUACAAAUUAUAUAUCGACAAUGAAGUGUUAGAUCUACAUGCGUAGGUUAAAGAGAUGGAUAAUCUAAAGAAACUUAAACCCAUUAACCUUUUUGCCUUUUUUAAUAAUUCCACCA